GGCUUCGCAUAAACCCUAACCAAAGCAAUCGAGCUAUUGGGUCUUCGAUUCCUCCCAAACCCGGCGUUGAUUCGUCCCUCGACUAGCGGAAAAGGACUCUGGGGAAGAACUCCGCCACUCCAUUGCCGGAGAAAGCAGCAACUGGACAUCUUUCCCUCUUCGUUGGCCUUCGCGGACUCGACGCAAGCGGCGGACAACGCCCUCAGGUCUUCUCAUCAGCCCGUAAGCGCUAGGGUUUCCACCUCCGAGCUCCCUUCUCCCUCUUUCGCUCCCCUCCGUGUCGCCGUGUUGCUUCGCAGGUCGCCGUGUUGGUCUGCUCUGCUCUGUGGUAGUCGGAAGCUCAGAGAGACGAUUCAGCGCACCCGCGAUAAGGAGGCUUAAAGAAAUACAGUGUUACAGAGGUGUAAGGCACAUACAGGGCUCCCGUUCAGAGGCCAAAGGACUAAGAACAAUUGCCGGACAUUGAAGAGCAAGCGUGUGGCUAUUGCCAGGAAGAAGAAGGCUCCUUGUUGAUAUGUAGAUAUAUCGUGUUUGGAUGUACUAAGACGUUUGUGUGUAUGUUUUCUUCCUUCUAUUGUUCAAUAUGUACUGCGUAUGUCCCUUUAUUUUGGGAUGAAUGUUGUAUUGUAUAUGUUAAUUGUCAAGCAAAGCGUAUAAUUUCU